GGGAGUGGAUUCGCCUCCUCCCGGCGUGCCCUGCGGCAGGGGGGCUGGUCCCGGAAGUUCCGAGACGGAUUCCAGGUGCCAGCGAAUCCUGUAAGGUACGCGUGGAAACUGGGGUCAUGGCGGCGCACGGCCCAGCGCUCUGCCUCUUCGACGUGGACGGGACCCUGACGGCCCCGCGGCAGAAAAUUACCAAAGACAUGGAUUGCUUUCUACAAAAACUGAGGCAGAAGAUCAAAGUUGGAGUCGUAGGCGGGUCGGACUUUGAGAAAGUACAGGAGCAACUGGGAAACGAUGUGGUUGAAAAAUAUGAUUAUGUGUUUCCAGAAAAUGGCUUGGUAGCAUACAAAGAUGGGAAACUCUUGUGCAAACAGAACAUUCAAGGUCACCUGGGUGAGGCCCUAAUCCAGGAUUUAAUCAACUACUGUCUGAGCUACAUCGCGAAAAUUAAACUCCCGAAGAAAAGGGGUACUUUCAUCGAAUUCCGAAAUGGGAUGUUGAAUGUGUCCCCCGUCGGAAGAAGCUGCAGCCAAGAAGAACGCAUUGAGUUCUACGAACUGGAUCAGAAAGAAAGUAUAAGACAGAAAUUCGUGGAGGAUCUGCGGAGAGAGUUUGCAGGGAAAGGCCUCACGUUUUCCAUAGGAGGUCAGAUCAGCUUUGAUGUCUUCCCUGAUGGAUGGGACAAGAGGUAUUGCCUGGGACAUGUGGAAAAGGACGGCUAUGAGACCAUUUAUUUCUUUGGUGACAAAACCAUGCCAAUUCUGGGGGAAGAGCUCAGCCCUCUUGGACCUGAGGGGCCACUCGUUGUGACGCUGACGUUCCCACGAUGUUGGGGGUUGCACUUACCAACUGGCAUCGACCCACCCUCCAGGCUUUUCUGCCCACUGGGUAUUCCCCAGCACCCACCUUGCUCCCCGAGGGCCUCCGCAGCUGGGCUCCGUGGUGGGGACAUCAGGUAAUAGUAGGUAAGUAACAUGCAGGCAGCAGCGGCUGAUGCCUUACACGUGCUCGCAAAGCAGCAGCUUCUGUCGUUGGCAGGUAAGAGCCGGCUGCCAGGAUUCAGAUCCUGGUUCAGCUGCUGCUGACUGGCUGUGUGAUGGAGGACGAGUUCACCCCAGCCUCAGUUUGCUCAUCUGUCGAAUGGGGUUAUAGUCCCUACCACACGUGUAACUUAACCGCGUUAACUUCAGUGAAGCACUUAGAACAGUGUGAGCUAUCGCUAACUUAAUCAUCCCCAGAAACCCUGUAAGACGGGACUGUCAUCCCUGCUUGACAGACGAGGAUAAGUCAUUCCCUCAGCCUUCUGCCGUUCCAGGACGGUAGACAACAUCACAAGAAAUGUAAACAUGGUGGCUAAAUGCUGAGCAAGAGGGAAGCAAAGAGGUUGCCCCAGGUCAGCGUGGGGCUGUUAAGAAAGCGUCCUCCUCCCCUUCCCCACCCCCUGCCCCCACCCCCUGCACUGCAGAAGCUGACCAGGUAUUUAGCCCCGGGCUCUAGGGCUUAAGAAGCCUCAAGGGAAAGACCACUAGCAGCUACUGGCCGCUGGAAGGCCCAUAUAAAGCUCAGUGAGGAGCCUGAACUCGACCCCGAGGGAGGGGCCGGGGGAGGCCCAUCUGUGUGACGAGGGUAGGUCUGUCUAGCCUCCGGGCAGGGAGUGACUGGAGGGCCCGCACGAAACAAGUUUGGCAAACAUUUGGGUGAGGCGAAGGUGGCCUAGGUGGCCCUGAAUCACUUCCUGAGGGCUGCUUCCCUCUCCUGCCCAGACAGGGCCAACUCGGCCAGGCCUCCAGGCUCCCUUCCACAUCUGCCCACCCCCACCCCCCUCACCCUGGCUUCCACCAAACCCACCCUCCCUCCCUCGAGCCGCAUGGCAUCACAUGUGUUUGGGGUUCAAUGCUUACUCCGGCCUUUCCCUAAUCAGGUUCGAUGGGCUGGUUAUAAUUUGUCCUAAUGCACUCUGAAAAUCUGUAUAUUUUUACAAUAAAGAUGUUCACCUCUGCACGCCCAAAGCCAUUAUCUACCUCCCGAGGGAAACACUGGCCAAGGAGGACCUUCGCAGCCUCUUGUGCCCCCUGCAUCUCCCUGCUGCACUCCUGGAAACCAAGAACCUGGGCUGCCUCCCCUCCCACUUCCCAGCUUCCCUCUGUCUGGACCGCCCUUGGCCAGACUGCUUCUGCUCACACAGUACCAAUUUAAAUGCAUCAGCAGUGCGUUUACCCACAGCUGACCACGUAAGUGGCAUUUUCUACUGUCACGAAGCCACAUCCCACUGCUAAGCUUGCCUACGCACGAGGAUGAUGAUUAAGGAAGAAGGGCUGAUCCCAUUUUCUUAUUCAUCCUCCAAAAAACCAGACUGCAAAGUAGAAUGACUGUCAGCCUCCUCUGGGGAGACGCCCUUACCUGCUGGCUUCAAGGAAAAGCUCCCUGGCAACCAGAUUCCCAUUAACACAUAACGCAGAGCCUCACGCAAAACAGACUUUACUGAGAGAAGGAUGCUGGUGGGAGGAGACCUGCAGUCAGGAAUCCGGAUUCUGUGCCCAGCUCCGUCGCCAACACCGUCCAUCCUCCCAGAGCCUCCGGAGUUUCUGUAACUUGAGACUCUGUGCUUGAGUGGGAAAGGGUCCCUUCCAGCUCUGACUGAGAAAGAUGUGGUCACCAGGAAGGACAGAGCAAGAGCCAUUUACAAAGGAGUCUACACAGUGAGAGCCCAAAGUUUAGCUCAGAAGAGCAGAUCCAACUCCCAGCCCGCUGGCGGGCUGGCAGGUCACAAGGAGCCCCAACCAUGUGUCAAGAUGGAUCCGGAGAAAGGUCUGGUCUUAAAGAGCCUCCCCUCUCCACACUCCCCUCUCCCACCGCCAUCCCCACUCCCACCCACCACCUCAGUGACGGGCUGCUGAGCCAGGAUCACUCACCCUGAAGACAGACAGAAAGGACCAGCCUUCGAAGAGAGUUAGGAUUCGCCUCUGAGCAGGUCGCUGCCAGGUGGAGGACUCCGGGCUCCCAGACACCCAGCUGUGACACCUCCCGCUGCGAAGAUGGUGAGAGGCUGUGCUGGUGGCCGAGAGCACCCCACACCCCUUCCUUCAGGAGACACUUGAAAGGGACCACGCUCCCCCCUUGAAGCCCCAUCUCAAGCGGUAGAAUGUCCUCUCCAGUUUGGUCCUGCCUCCGGCCCCAGAGUCUCCCCCAAGCCCUGGGGAAGGGGCGCCUCUGGCCUCUCCUAGGAGCUGACGAUGUGGCCGGACCAGGUCUCGUGCUUGGUGCCCGGCGCCAGGUGGGUGAUGACCACCUCCACGGCCUGCAGCUUCUCGUUCUUGGGCGGAAUGGAGCACAUCUUAUAGGUGACCUCAUCGCCUUCCACGGGGACGUACUCCCCCUCCACGCUGUGGGGUGGGGAGAGAGCACUCAGGGCCGGCACUCAGAGAAGCCAGGACACCAGCCCUCGCAGAGGAACUGCCGCCCUGCCCUGCCACCAGGGGGCACCACCAUGGCCCUCUGGUCGUGGCUAAGGAGCCCCACACCCAAUCAGCUCCUUCCCUGGGACCUCGGUUGCUGAGACAGAGAUGGAGCCCCACCCCCUGGGGAUGCUCACAUGGCAUGUUAAACUAGGGCACCGAGGGCCUGAUGGAGGGAACAGCGGGGAAAGGCAGUCUGAGCCCGAGUUGGGGGAUGGCCCGGGUGAGGGUUUCCUGAGCAGCACCCCAACCCCCUGACCCAUCCAGGAGUCCCAGAAACCAGGCUACACCUCUGCUGUUCAACUCCUCAGAACCCCAGUGAGCUUUCCAGAAAGUCCGUUUCCCUUACUUUCUAUGGGACAUGAGUCACCAUCUCACCCGUGAUAGGGAGGUGCCCAGCUUGAUGUCCCCUUGAUGAGACCCCAGGAGAAAAAUCCCUUCAGAUCCUGAGCACCAAGACCAGCCAGCUCCCCCGGAACUGGUUUGCCUUGACUGAAGAAUAACAUCGCAGAUGGUGCUGCCCUCUUUGAUUUGGCCACCAGGAAGCUCAGGAAUAAACAUGUAACCCACUUCUAGCAGUGGAACUAGGCAUCACAGUAUCCCCAUCUUUCUUAUCUGCCCCCCAACCCUUUCCUUUCUAAUUUUUUUGGUGCACUGUGUGUAUCCUU